rnacentral:rRNA from 1 species
GACGAACGCUGGCGGCGCGCCUAACACAUGCAAGUCGAACGGAGCUGAGAGAAGCUUGCUUUUCUUAGCUUAGUGGCGAACGGGUGAGUAACGCGUGAGUAACCUGCCCUGGAGUGGGGGACAACAGUUGGAAACGACUGCUAAUACCGCAUAAGCCCACGAUCCGGCAUCGGAUUGAGGGGAAAGGAUUUAUUCGCUUCAGGAUGGACUCGCGUCCAAUUAGCUAGUUGGUGAGGUAACGGCCCACCAAGGCGACGAUUGGUAGCCGGACUGAGAGGUUGAACGGCCACAUUGGGACUGAGACACGGCCCAGACUCCUACGGGAGGCAGCAGUGGGGGAUAUUGCACAAUGGGGGAAACCCUGAUGCAGCGACGCCGCGUGGAGGAAGAAGGUUUUCGGAUUGUAAACUCCUGUCGUUAGGGACGAUAAUGACGGUACCUAACAAGAAAGCACCGGCUAACUACGUG